CCUACGGGGGGCAGCAGUGAGGAAUAUUGGUCAAUGGGCGUAAGCCUGAACCAGCCAAGUCGCGUGAGGGAUGAAGGUUCUAUGGAUCGUAAACCUCUUUUAUAAGGGAAUAAACUCUGGGACGCGUCUUUUUCUGUAUGUACCUUAUGAAUAAGGAUCGGCUAACUCCGUGCCAGCAGCCGCGGUAAUACGGAGGAUCCGAGCGUUAUCCGGAUUUAUUGGGUUUAAAGGGUGCGUAGGCGGUCUGUUAAGUUAGAGGUGAAAUGCUGAGGCUCAACCAUAGAAUUGCCGUUGAAACUGGGGGGCUAGAGUAUGUUUGAGGCAGGCGGAAUGCGUGGUGUAGCGGUGAAAUGCUUAGAUAUCACACAGAACCCCGAUUGCGAAGGCAGCCUGCCAAGCCAUGACUGACGCUGAUGCACGAAAGCGUGGGGAUCAAACAGGAUUAGAUACCCGUGUAGUC
rnacentral:rRNA from 1 species